rnacentral:rRNA from 1 species
UAAGGAAUACUGGUCAAUGGACGCAAGUCUGAACCAGCCAUGCCGCGUGAAGGAUGAAGGUCCUCUGGAUUGUAAACUUCUUUUAUCUGGGACGAAAACGGGAUUUUUAUCUCAAUUGACGGUACCAGAGGAAUAAGCACCGGCUAACUCCGUGCCAGCAGCCGCGGUAAUACGGAGGGUGCGAGCGUUAUCCGGAUUCACUGGGUUUAAAGGGUGCGUAGGUGGGCUUAUAAGUCAGUGGUGAAAUCUCCGAGCUUAACUUGGAAACUGCCGUCGAUACUAUAGGUCUUGAAUUAUCUGGAGGUAAGCGGAAUAUGUCAUGUAGCGGUGAAAUGCUUAGAUAUGACAUAGAACACCAAUUGCGAAGGCAGCUUACUACAUAUAAAUUGACGCUGAGGCACGAAAGCGUGGGGAUCAAACA